rnacentral:rRNA from 1 species
CCUACGGGAGGCAGCAGUGGGGGAUAUUGCACAAUGGGGGGAACCCUGAUGCAGCGACGCCGCGUGGGUGAAGAAGCGCCUCGGCGCGUAAAGCCCUUUCGGCAGGGAAGAAGAUGACGGUACCUGAGCAAGAAGCCCCGGCUCACUACGUGCCAGCAGCCGCGGUACUACGUAGGGGGCAAGCGUUAUCCGGAUUUACUGGGUGUUAAGGGGGCGCAGGCGGCAAUGCGAGCCAGGAGGGAAAGCCCUGGGGCCAAACCCGGGACUGCUCUUGGAACUGCGUGGCUGGAGUGCAGGAGGGGCAGGCGGAAUGCGUGGUGUAGCGGUGAAAUGCGUAGAUAUCAGGAGGAACACCGGUGGCGAAGGCGGCCUGCUGGACUGCAACUGACGUUGAGGCCCGAAGGCGUGGGGAGCAAACAGGAUUAGAUACCCGGGUAGUC